UUAUUUUCUAUAGUAGUCAUCUAUAUAAAUCAACAGAGUCUUAGACAUUACCCGACUCUAGGAACUAUAGUCCACUUCAUACGUUGUUGUUCGUGAGAACGAUGCCUGCGUAUCCUGUAAUUUCACUGCUAUAAUCUACCCUUUUAACUGAAUUACAAUACGUAAGCACAGCUGCUUGGAGGAAGAAACAUGAAUGAAAGAAAGUCAUCCAUGCAAACAACAUUUCCUGCGAUAAAGUUUGCACUUUAUUUUACACAAACUCAAAAUUUCUGUUUACUUAAUAAUUUUUAACAAAUAUUUUGCAAUAAUUUAAAUAACCUUAACUACUAGAGAAUAGGUCACCGCAAGUAAAUAGAAACUAUUUGAACAAUGAUCUGAGUUCUGAAAAUACCCACAUUAUCUGAAAUCCUUACAUAUACUUGAUAUCCAAAUAAACAAUAUUAUUUACAUAAUUAGUGUAUAUAAACGUGAAUAAAUAUUAAACAUUUAAAUAUAUAGUUGUAUAAUGAGUAAGAUUUAAUCUCGAUUCUGAUGUAUUUUCCUGACUUCCUAUUAUUGUACAUAUUAUAUAUAUAUAAAUUAACAAUAACAACUAUAAUUUAUUCUCGUUUUUAGAUUUAUUUAUUUAUUUAUACUUUAUUAUACAUGAAAAUUACAUUGUUAUAAGUUAUAUUAAAUUAAGAUGUAUAACAGACGAGCUUAACUCUAUAAGAGUUCUCUUCCAGCAAACCUUGAGUGAAAAGUAGCAUUAAUUACCAGCGGGCAGUGCGCGUACAAUAAGAAGUGGAAACAGUACAGUACUAGUACUUACUUAUUCCUAGCACUACUUGAUAGUCCUAAGAAAUAACAAAUUUGCAGAAUACAUUUAUAAUUAAAAUCUACAUAAACAUAGACAACAUAAUCUAAAACAUACUCUGUAGAUACCUAAUUUAUUUGUAUACACGAACAUAAAAUAAACAUGAAACAAAAUAUAAAGUUAUUACAGUAACAAGAACUGGCAGCCAUUUCGCACGGAGAUCAAGCCUCGCUUUGAGAAAUUCAACUCAACUUCACCAUACCUACUUAAUUUAAAAAGGUUUCACGGACUCCGGUGUAAAUGGAGCGGCGAUAAUUAGAAAAAGCAAAGGUUCCUUGCACGACACGCAAAUACUCCUAGUCAGCCGAUGUUUGCUCUCAGAGCGUUAUCACUCGAUAAGUUAGAUCACAAGCCGAGUGUAAACAGUUUUAUCAUGGUAACAUUCUUACUGAAGACAUUCGGGCAUAACACAGACUCCGCUACGGGGCGAGGCGCGCAUUACACUUGAAACAAACAUCUCAACCCUCAGUGGCUUGUUGGUGAUGGCCGAACUCUCGUUAAUUAAGGAUUAGAUAAAUAAAAUUAAAUGUGCAUGGGUGUUUAAAAGUGAAGUUUAAAUGAGUGUUAAUCAAGCCAAAGAACAAAUCAAAGCUUUAAAGCUCAAUUUUCUAGUCGAGUGAAAGUGAUAGACGUCAAACUGGAGGAUUUACACACACUGGAGGGGACCGAGGGCCAGGCUGGGCUCAGCAAUGACACGGCGAGGGAUAACUGUUUGGC